rnacentral:rRNA from 1 species
UGUAGAGUGCAUGAUGUGAACAUGUCUUCCUUCGGGGCUCUCUGCAAGGUGCUGCAUGGUUGUCGUCAGCUCGUGCCGUGAGAUGUUGGGUUAAGUCCCGCAACGAGCGCAACCCUUAUCCCCAGUUGCCAUCAGGUAAAGCUGGGAACUCUGGGGAGACUGCCGGUGAUAAACCGGAGGAAGGCGGGGAUGACGUCAAGUCCUCAUGGCCCUUACAUCCCGGGCUACACACGUGCUACAAUGGCAGGUACAGAGGGCUGCAAAGCCGCGAGGUAGAGCGAAUCCCAGAAAACCUGUCUCAGUCCGGAUUGAAGUCUGCAACUCGACUUCAUGAAGGCGGAAUCGCUAGUAACCGCGAAUCAGCAGGUCGCGGUGAAUACGUUCCCGGGCCUU